CUCUGGACUCUGAAUCCAGCGAUCCGAGUU
rnacentral:piRNA from 9 species